CAUCGUCCUGCAAAACGAUCUACUCCAAAUUCAACCGUUGUGUGAUUGUAAUCCUGAAUCUACUCUAAACUGUUUGAUAGUUGUUCAUGGGAACGCCUAUCAGACACUAUUCGAGGUCAUAUACGUUGUUUGUUAGCGUUAGAAAUCACCUGCGUCCACACGACUCUCCAAACGAAAGCGUCAAAGUAAGCAGAUGAUAAUAGUCAGCUAAAUCAGCUAAGCUAACUACCUAGCUUGAAGCAUGCCGAAUUUUUGCGCGGCCCCUAACUGUACACGGAAGAGCACACAGUCAGAUUUGGCAUUUUUUCGGUUUCCACGGGACCCUGAGAGAUGCCGAAUCUGGGUAGAGAACUGCCGCAGAGCAGAUCUAGAGGCGAAAACAUCAGACCAGUUGAACAAGCACUACAGAUUAUGUGCCAAACACUUCGACCCAGCAAUGGUUUGCAAAACGAGCCCCUACAGGACUGUAUUGAAGGAUACAGCCAUUCCAACCGUGUUUGACCUGACAAGCCAUCUAAAAAAUCCUCAUACCAGACAUCGCAAGCGGAUUAAAGAACUUACUGAAGAAGAUUUACGGAAGAUUAAAGAAAGGCGAUUGGCAUCUUCUGUCGAACAGCUUUCCUCCAAAAAAGACGCCGCCAUUGAGGAUGGCACGAGCGCCAAUGAGGAUGAACCUCAACUGUCCAGAGAGGAGAAGGAGUUCCGCGAGUACCUGCGCUCCCUGUUCGAGGUCGUGGUCAUGUUAGGGAAACAGAGGAUCCCGUUAGUGACUGGCAAGGCGUCUGGAGCCGAACACGUGUCCAACAACUUCCAGGCCGUUCUGGAUUACCGCAUGAAUGCCGGAGACGAAGCUUUGAGGAGGCGCUUUCAGGCGACCGCCGUGAACACGGAAUACCUGUGUGCGGUCCAGCAGAGCCAGCUGUUGGACGUCUGUGAGAACACCGUGAGAGAGGAGAUGCUGAUGGAGGUGAGGGAGAGUCGCUUCUUCUCCCUCGUGACCGGAGACCUGGUCGAAUUUGCCGACGAGAAACACCUGCCUCUGUUCCUACGCUUUGUGAAUCAGCACAACGUCCUCCGGGAGGAGUUUUUGGACUUCAUGUCGUUUGGCGGCGACGAGGCCGCGCUGGUGGAGCGGCUGGAGGCCCACCUGACUGACCGCUGGGGGCUCAGCAUGGAGGACUGCCGUGGCCAGGCCCACAAGGCCACCGGGACCUCCACCACCAAGAUGAAAGCUGUGGCGGUGUUACUGAUGGAGAAGUAUCCCCUGGCGCUGCAUCUGCCUUGCUCUCAUACGGCGCUGAACCUCCACCUGGCCAACAACCUUCCUUUUCCCAAUGUCCAGGUCGUCAUGGAGACCUUGCGAAGGAUCGGCGCUUUCUUCACGACCCCGUCUACUCGGGACGAGCUCGAGAGAGCCAUCGCCGCUCACUACCAGAAGAACGAAGAGAAAGGAGCCGCGGUGAAAGAAGCCUCCGGCCCGGGAUGGACCGAGCGGCACAACGCGUUCGACGCGCUGCUGGACACGUUGCCGCCGCUGCUGCUGUGCAUGGACCGCAUUCGGGACGCCGGCGACGGCAGGUUUGCCGACGCCGUCGGAGCGCACGCGCUCGCCGAGACCCUGUCCGACUUUGAGACCGUCGUCACCGUCGUCGUCCUAAAGAACGUCCUCACCUUCACCCGAGCCUUCGGCAGGAAUCUCCAAGGGGAAACGCUCGACGUGUUUUUCGCCGCCAACAGUCUAACCGCCGUCCUGCAUUCGCUAAACGAGGUCAACGACAACAUCGACGUCUACCACGAGUUCUGGUACGAGGAGGCCGUGAGCGUGGCCAGCGUGAUGGGGGUGCCCGCGACGGUACCGAGGCUGUUCCUCCGGAAACAGCGUGCAGCCGACGUGGGCGAAAUCCAAGCCGAGGCGUACUUUAAGGAGUACGUGACGGUGCCCGUCAUCCACGGCGUCAUGCAGGAGGUGGAGGACAUGUUCUCCGAGACCAACCUCAAAGCCCUUAAGUGCCUGUCGCUGGUCCCGGCCGUCAUGGGCCAAAUGAAGUUCAACACCACCGAGGAGAACUACGCCGAAGUCUACCGCGACGACCUGCCCAACCCGGACACGCUGCCCGCCGAGCUCCACUGCUGGCGAAUCAAGUGGAAGCACCGGGGCAAAGAGGUGCGCCUGCCCGCCACCAUCCACGAAACCCUUCAGCUGCCAGACGUCAAGUUCUUUCCCAACGUGAACUCCUUCCUCAAGGUGCUCUCGGCCCUGCCAGUUCUGAAGCUGGAGGACGGCAAAGGUGACACGGCGAGCGAGCGGCUGCAGGCUUAUCUGGACAGCACGCCGGCCGAGCAGCGGAACAAGAGUCUCGCCAUGCUCAACAUUAACACUCGCGUCAAACACGACCUGGAUGUCAUGGUAGACAAAUAUUGCAGACUCUAUUCAGACGAUGAGGCCGAGGCCGAAGCCGAAGCCGAGGCCGAGGCCGAGGAAGCGGCCAAGGAAGAUGCUGCAAUGAAAUGAUGCGGCACGGACACUGAAUUCGCUAAAGGUGUUCUGGGACAGAAAAGAAAUGACGAAGCCAGCCGGCCCUGUUGAUUCCUCUCCACUGACUGUGAGGCAGAAGGAGCACAAGAGGGAGCAGUUACACCAAUAUCAGCUGUUCUGUAAAUUCAUGCUCAGUGAGAAGACAUUUCUUUUCAUAAACAAAUAGUGUAUACUGCUGGUGUGACAUAUUUCGGAUAGUUAAAAAAGGCCAGUAUGUUGAAAGUUGAUACAUUUAAAGGGUACAUUCACAUUGACAUAGCAUUUGAUCAAAUCAAGAAAAGAAAAAAAAUGAACACAACUCUGAAUGUAGAAGUAUUUGUAGUUAUUGUGGUCAAUAUGUAGGCUAUGGCAAGAUGGGGCUUUUUUUUAUUUUAUUUUUUUUGCCGCCACACACAAUGUUUAUUAAUUUGUCAGAUUUUACAUAAUUUCACAAUCUGUUUUCCGUUUGGUUUAAUAAAAAUAAAUUGUACAGAAAGCCAAAUUAAGGCACUGUGUGUGUCAGCUUUGUGGCAACAUUUUUACUCGGUCUUCAUUUGUAUG